rnacentral:misc_RNA from 1 species
GAACGCACAUUGCGCCCGCCAGUAUUCUGGCGGGCAUGCCUGUCCGAGCGUCAUUUCAACCCUCGAACCCCUCCGGGGGGUCGGCGUUGGGGAUCGGCCCUUUACCGGCCGGCCCCGAAAUACAGUGGCGGUCUCGCCGCAGCCUCUCCUGCGCAGUAGUUUGCACACUCGCACCGGGAGCGCGGCGCAGUCCAAUGCCGUAAAACACCCAACUUUCUGAAAUGUUGACCUCGGAUCAGGUAGGACCACCCGCUGAACUUAAG